rnacentral:rRNA from 1 species
UACGUAGGUGGCAAGCGUUGUCCGGAUUUACUGGGCGUAAAGAGCGCGCAGGCGGCUGGUCAAGUCCGAUGUGAAAUCUCCCGGCUCAACUGGGAAACUGCAUCGGAAACUGAUCGGCUUGAAGGUGGGAGAGGGUAGUGGAAUUCCCGGUGUAGUGGUGAAAUGCGUAGAUAUCGGGAGGAACACCAGUGGCGAAGGCGACUACCUGGCCUGUUCUUGACGCUGAGGCGCGAAAGCUAGGGGGAGCAAACGGG